UGAGACAAUCAGAGAGAAUGCACUCUACCCC
rnacentral:piRNA from 1 species